AGCAUCGGGAAACUAGUUAUGUAUUUAAGACUGAAAGCGGGAGAAAUCUGCCGUAGGCAUCUUCCCCUUUUCUCUCUUUGUUUCGUCUGCUGAAUAGAGGCAGUGCCUCCUCUCCACUCUUGCUUAAUUGAGUAAACUCCGUGAUCCUAAAUGCAAACAAACAUGGAGCCAGCACAAACAAGCACGUGCUUCCUGCAUGCGCCACUUCUGAGGAGCAGCCUGAGCAACAGGUAAAGCGGCUGGGAGACAGAAACGCUGCAGAAGGCGCCUCCAGGAUUUGGCCUGAGAGCCCUGCAAGCUUUGAGACACCACUGCAAACUGGAGCUGACACCUCUUCUGUUCACCUUGGAGAGGUGCAGAGUGAAGAGCAGACCAUGACACACUUAAUAGAUUGCUGGGCAUUUACGGAGCUGCUUGUUACCCAGCUCAUGAGCCGUGUCCAACUGCUACAGCGUUCAUCAAAGAUGGGAAGCCACAAGGAGCAAAUUGACAGAGAAGAUAUGAGUCAGUGAUGGUGCAGGUGAUCUGUGCAGUGCUGUGCAGGGGAUGUGUCAAAGCUGUGAUGCUGGCAUGCAACAAACUCACCAUUAAAGGGACUAGCUUGAUGAAGCUUCUGCUUUUGUGACUAUCUCCUAAUGGAUCUGAGGGUGUCUUCAAGUUCCCAGGCUUGCUCGGCACAUUGCAAAUAGCCAUGAUUUGAGAUGAUUUUCUUUAAUGCUGAAGCAGACGAAGAACCCAGGUUCUUUUUAAUGGCAAGGCUUGUUUAUCAGCAGCUAUACAGGUAAACAGCACAGAUGCUGGGAGAGGGACGGCAUCCAGACUCAGAAGAAGGCCAACAUUUGACCAUGACCAUCACGCUCACAUGACAAAAGAUGUCACCACAGUGAACAGUUCUGACCACAGUGGCUUUUCACCUGCUUCGUUAAAUGUAACUCACACCGGCCCAGAGGACAAUUUCAUUAACCCUGUAUUUCAGCAGAAACCGGAGCACCUCAGAAGAUCAAGGCUUCCCAGUUCUCCUGGGGGAACAGACGUCAGCCACUUGGCACAAAGGAAACUUCCUUCUCUGUGUCAGAGGAAGACAUAAUUGUGCCAUUUCCUUCUUGAAGAAGUUUACAAACAUUUGCAAGUUGUCAAAAAUAAUUAGUCUAAAAUUGUUUCAUAAACCAUGGAAUGAAACAGUACGUGCCUUGUUGAGAUCAAAGGGCUUCUGUUACCUUCUUGUAAACCCAAAUGAAAUUCUUUUGAAAGUAAA